AGAAAGAAAGAGAAAGGAAGGGAGGGAGGGAGGGAAGGAGGAAGGAGGGAAGGAAGGAAGGAAGGAAGGAAGGAAGGAAGGAAGGAAGGAAGGAAGGAAGGAAGGAAGGAAGGAAGGAAGGAAGGAAGGAGAGAGAGAAAAUAGAGCAGAAUAAAUGACUAAAUCCAAAAGUUGCUUCUUUGGAGGGGGGAAAAAUGAAACAAAAAGCAAGCUAACCUAAUCAAGAAAAGAAGGCAAAAGGCUCAAAUGCACAAAAUAAGAAAUGAUUAGGGGGAAAUAACUAUAGAAAUAGAAGAAAUGUAAAUAAUAAUAGGAGACUGUUCUGCUUACAUUUGAAAUUUACAACUUGGAUACGAUGGCUAAUUUCCUGGGAAAAUAUAAUUUGGAAAGGCAGAAAAUUUAAAUAGACUGAUUUCUUUAGGAGAAUAACAACCCAAGAGAACACAGAAUGAAAAAAAAGACACAAAUUAUAAGAUAAAGUACUAGGCAUAUGCCACGUCAGAGAUUUACAAGACUUACAUUAGGUAAAUUGUAAAUAGUCCUGAGGAGAGGAGUCUGUCCAAAUGAAAAUGCUUAUCAUGUCCUUCCUAAAGUAAUAGAUAGAUUUAAUGUCACCCAAAUAAAACAGGACAGGCAUGGUGGCUCAUGCUUGUGAUCUCAGCACUUUGGGAAGCUGAGGCAGAUGAAUCCCUUGAGACCAGGAAUUCGAGACCAGCCUGGUCAGCUUGGUGAAACCCCAUCUCUACUAAAAAUACAAAAAUUGGCCAGACUUGGUGGUGCAUGCCUGUAAUCCCAGCUACGGGAAGCUGAGGCAGGAGAAUCACUUGAACUCGGGAGGCGGAGGUUGCAGUGAGCCGGGAUCACGCCACUGCAUCCAGCCUCGGUGACAGAGCUAGACUCCGUCUCAAAAAUAAUAAUAAUAAUAAUAAUAAAUAAAAUAAAAUAAUUUUUAAAAAAUGGCUGGAUACGGUGGCAUGCACCUGUGGUCCCAGCUACCCUGGAUGCUGAGGUAGGAGGAUCACUUGAGCCCAGGAGAUGAGGCUGUAGUAAGCUAUGAUGGCGCCACUGCACUCCAGCCUGGGUGACAAUGAGAGACUGAGACCCUGUCUCAAAACAAAGAGGAAAAACAAUGACGGGGACAUGGUUGGGAGAAUAAUGGUCCUCCAGAGUUGUCCACUUCCUGAUGCCCGGAGCCUGUGAAUAUGCUCUUACCUGGCAAGAGGGAAUGAAGGUUGCAGGUGGAACUUAGGUUGCUGGUCAGUUACUGCUGAGAUGGGCAGAUUAUCCAGGUGAGCCCAUUAUAACCACAGGGAUUCUUGGAAGCGGAAGAGGGAGGCAGCGUGAGAAAGACUCAGCCAGCCACUGAGGGCUCUGAAGGAAGGAAAGCAAGAGCCAGGGAACACCCGGCUGCCUGCAGAGGCUGGAAAGGGCAGAGAGCAGAGCCUCCCUGACAGUCUCCAGAGAGGAGACUUCACAAUCCUGUGGACACCUUCAUUCUAGUCCAUGAGAACCCUUUUGGACUUCUGCCCUCCAGAAAUGGUUCGUCACUGGUCCACCUGAGAAGUGACACCGUUCAGCGUUGCUGUACUCAGGCAGUCAUCAUCAGUGGCAUUACUGGAAGGCCUAUGUUCUAAGUCUCUCCUUGAAUUCCUCCUUACCCGUGCAUGUACUUACCAAGUUAAUGAUUUAGUUUCUGAGUCACUAAGCAUACACAUUUUUGCCUGAGUCAUUUUGGGUUCAUACCUGAGACAGCAGCUGAAGCCCUCUGGGAAUGCAGGAGAAAACCUGAUAUGCAACUUACCUACCAUUUAUUGAAGGGUAUCACAUGCUGGCAGAGAAGCAGCCUGGGAACAAAACUCUUAUGUUCUAUAAGAACAGUGCUGGGUUUGAAUGUAACCUGCUUCAGGUCUUAGAAACAAUGGUAUGAAUGCUGUUUCCUUGUAGUUGCAAGCAUUGCUAAGAGACUGAGUGAAAGAGGAAUGCUGUGCUGAUACAAUCUGGGGGGUGGAACCAUUAGUCAAAUUCUAGCCUUUCUUGUCCUUUCUUCUGGUAGAUAACCUAGCGCAAAAACUCCGCCUGGAGUUUUCAGACGCUCACUUUCUGCACACAUAGAAGGAUUUGUGUGAGGAGUUACUGGCUUUGAUCAAAAUUGCAAUUCUGAUGAAUCAGAUUUUACCAAUUUAGGAAGGGGGAUUCUCGGCCAGGAGCGGUGGCUCAUGCCUGUAAUCCCAGCACUUUGGGAGGCCGAGGUGGACGGAUCACGAGAUCAAGAGAUUGAGACCAUCCUGGCCAACAUGGUGAAAGCCCGUCUCUACUAAAAAUACAAAAAUUAGCUGGGCGUGGUGGCACGUGCCUGUAGUCCCAGCUACUCGGGAGGCUGAGGCAGGAGAAGUGCUUGAACCCAGGAGGCAGAGGUUGCAGUGAGCCCAAGAUCUUGCCACUGCACUCCAGCCAGGGCAGAAGAACGAGACUCCGUCUCAAAAAAAAAAAAAAAAAAAAAAAAGGACAUUUCUUAUGAAAAUCUGGAUAAGCAGGGCCGGGCGUGGUGGCUCACGCCUGUAAUCCCAGCACUUUGGUAGGCUGAGGCAGGUGGAUCACCUCAGGUCAGGAGUUCAAGACCAGCCUGGCCAACAUGGUGAAAUUCCAUCUCUACUAAAAAUACAAAAAAUUAGCCGGGCAUGGUUGCAGAUGCCUGUAAUCCCAGCUACUUGGGAGGCUGAGGCAGGAGAAUCGCUUGAAGCUGGGAGGCAGAGGUUGCGGUGAGCCAAGAUUGUGCCAUUGCACUCCAGCCUGGGCAACAAGAGCAAAACUCAGUCUCAAAAAAAAAAAAAAAAAAGUUAUAAGAGCUGACAACACUGGGCCCACACAUACCCAAAUGACAACCAUCGAAUGUGGUGGCCCCUGCCUUGCUGGGGGCGGGCAUCUCCUGUUUACCAGCCCCACCUGCCCUGCCCCACUCUGGCCCUUUGGGCAUUUGAAUUUGCAACCUCCUCUCUGAGACCCAUGGUCCUAUCAUUUCUAUACUUUGAAAGUAAUAGGAUUUGAAACUGCCAUUUCAGAUUGAAGUUUAUAUUGCAUUUAUAUAUUCUUUAUAUAUUCAAUUUAUGUCAGAUUUAUUUCAUAUAUAUAUAUUUUUUUCUUUUCUUUUCUUUUCUGUUUUUUAGAGACAAAUCUUGCUCUGGCC
rnacentral:lncRNA from 10 species